ensembl:lncRNA
GCUUGCAGCUCCCGGACUGACAUUCAAGCCGUCUUUUGCCAGAAGCAGUUUUCUGUCCCACUACUCGUUUCUGCAGUCACAAACAAUUAUUGAAUCAAUAGCUGGCGGUCGAUCGCCCCGACGUGAUUUCCUUCACUGCUGCGAGAGUCGUUGUCAUUUAGAGGAACAAUGAACUGUUUUUGUUGUCUUAUUUAAAGCUGUUUAGUGACUAUAAGGUAACGUUAUCUGGCACAAGCAAUAGAUGUUGGGGUUGCUCAGCGGUUGAGUAGUGUGGCAGCUGAAGGUGUUAGCAUCAUGCUACCCCCAAUGAGUUGCACAUCUGAUAAUAAGAUGUCACCGGUGACAUUAAUGCAUUAUAUUUUCUUAUUUUCCGAGUACCCAACGCUGCUGCUAUGCAUCACUUCGGCAUGACAUUGCAGUGGAGGCUCAUCUGGGAAGAAAAACAGCUCGUAGUUCUUAGACUCUUCUUCCUGUAACAUAGCAAACUGAGGUGAACUUAUGCAUCCAUCCCCUGGGAAAGCUUUGUGUUUUCAUUACAAAUGCAGUCAGAAGGAACCAUACCUAUGCUUUUGAGGUCAAAUGUCUGGGGCAUUUACUACAAAUAACAUGCACAUGCAUACAUAAUGUAUUGUGGACUUGUGCUCAAUUGUGCAUCUUUUGCAUCAGAUAUUUGCUCAUAAUUCAAUACACAAAAGAUAUGCAGCUGAGUGCAAUUUGCCCCUUUUCUCUGUCAGUUGGCAAUUAUCCACGUGUUAAAGUAUAAGUGUGCUUGAGGCUGACUGGUUGGUUUUGUUGGUUUACUGUGGCUGAGCCAGAUGGGCCCCCAACACCAUGACUUCAUUCCGGUUGGGCUCCGACCAUUUCUUUUCGUUAACACUGGGCUUGAGUCGACCUUUGAAUCAUUUAAUAAACUUCUCUCUAUUGAUUUUGCAGAUAUGCACAUCUGCGCUGCAGAGCACACAUACACAGAUGGGAAACAUCAAUAGCAUGAAACAUUUGAGAGUUUCAAAGUUUCAACGCAAAAAGACAAAGUGAACCUUUACUCAUGCAGCAUUGAAGCAAAAAUCCUUCUUUUUUCUCGUGUCUUUUUAAAAAUGACAAUGUUUGGAAGCUUUAGAAAUACAUUAUUGGUGGUAAAACUGUUACUGUCAUUGUCACUGCAUCCCAAAAUAUAUAUUUCUUUAGGGAUCAUAAAGACGUUAUAUUUGCAAGGGAGUUGUUUAUCAUCCUUUAUGGGUUAUUUGAGAAUGUUUUGGUUUAUUUUGGUCUUGUUUGCUCAGGUUUUACAGCAAAAGAAACAGACAAUCAAUGUGUGUUGUGUUUAGUAUGAGCACAGUAAAUGAACUAAUCUUCAAAUCAAUGGCUCUAAGUAAAUUGUGUUUUAUAUCCAUUACAUUUUUUCGAUGUGACAUAUUUUAACAUUUUCCAACCCUAAAAUAGUUUUUUAGAAAAAAAUGUUGAGCUAAAAGAAAAUUUCAAACUAUUUUUCAACCCACAAUUAGCGCCACACCCCUGUCUUUCUGCAGACUGAAGACCUUUGUGAAGGACUGCACUACUAAUAUGCAAACAAUAACACAGGAAGCUCUGAAGUACAUGUUUUACACGCACAAAGCUUAGUUAGCAGAAGGGUUUUUGUGUCUAUCAGCAAUAGUUUGUUUUCGUUUGACCAAGCAAAAUCCCUCAGCUCCCCAUAAACGUAGCGGGAAUAACAAACUACUUAAUUACUUAUCGAAUCCAAGCCCCAUUGCCUUUACAGAAAUAAACUGAUCUGAUGUGAUGCGAUCUGCUGUCCCAUUUCACUCACUGCAUUUUGAGCCCUUUUAGCCUGAUGAACUCCCUCAUGCAUUCACAUGGAGCUCGCAGGUGUUGUCGAUGAAUAUUUGCGAGGGUUCAGUGUGCAGCACAAAGGCCGGACGUUGUGUUUGGGACGAGGUCACUGGACUGGACCGGAGAUGGAGCCGCUCCCAGAAUACUUCAAGUGCGAGGAUAAUCUUGUCAGCAAGUCAGCGCCGGGAAGCAGCGCAGUGGCUGGUGCUCGUAUGCAGCGUGUGUGUUGAGCCCCUAUUGAGGUACUGACAGUGAUACUGAGGGUGGGACUGUUGCAAACACACGAGCUGAGAGCCACGAAUGGCCCCGAACUCGCCCCGAUGACCUGCUUCUCAGGCGAUGGAAACAACGCGCCUGGUUCCAGUGAGAUGGAUUCGCCGACAGACCUGGACUCCACGUGCUUGGGAACAGCAGGAAACAGUUUGAGGAUUUCUCCCUGUGAUCUUAGCAGCGUAAUAUGCUGAGCGCGCAGAGAGGAAAGAGGAAUCUUAAAAUCCGUCUGUGUUUAAUGAGCUGGUGAUGCUUUUAACGUGAGAUACAACGUUCUGUUUUAGUGAAUGCUGUCAAGGGUGCAAUUUUUAAAUACAACAGUUACAUUUUGUGAUGAUAAACAACUAAAAGCUUCAGCGUUUCUCAUCAGGAAACACAUUUUUCCUUAUUAUAUUUAUUUGCAUUUGUGCUUUGCUCUUAUUGCUUGUUUUUGCUCGUACAAAAAUUAUGCAAAGCUUGAAAACCAACGACGUAUGAGUAAUUACUCGGAUACAGCCUCUCAAAGGGACAGUCUGGAGCUAAUAAACUUUGUAAUAAUGGCCUAAAAGCAAUAUUUAAUAACUGUUUACUGCAAGAAUGCACACACCCUGCACCGCAUUAGAAAAUUCAUAAUUGCAUGCAUGGAAUGUAUUCAAGUUAAAACUACUUAAACAAAAGUAAAACUUCAAAACACACUGCAACUUUAGACCGAGUAACAGUUCACACUAUAUUUGAGAUGGAACUUGGCUCUAAACGAUUUGAGGACGUUUAAUGGAAACGUGUGUGCCAAUGACACCACUAAGAGUUCUUUGAACGCUUUCCUGGUUUGUUCAAUUAUUUUAUUGUAUAGGACCUCCUUUUCACCGUGGAAUUACAUGGGUCAUGUCCUGGUGGUCAUCCCUACCCUUAAAAUAAAGGAAUGGCUUACUCUGAGUACCAGAUCCAUGUGAUUCACGGCUGUAUUUGGUGAAUAGACGUUCAUAAUACGCCGUUAGCGUGAGACCAAAAAAACGCAACAUGUGAGUCGAAAUGUUAUAUUAGAAAUAAUUAAAUACGUUUUUUAUUUUGAUCUUUUACUUUCUAUUGUUUCCUUUUACAGUAUGUUUUUAACUGUAAUGAACACAUAUACAGAGACAACCUUUUAAGUAAAAUCUUAAAAUUGGCAACAUGAGAGAAAAAAACAGAGAGUUUGUCUUGAUGUUUAAAGGAGGAAUGUUUUUGGCCUCGUCCCUUUUCAGUGCUGCAGCCCCUCGUACUCUGAGCACCUUGACAGUUUAAGGCAAACGACUCCCACCGUCGGGUUCUGAGAUUAACUCUGACAGCCACACUGAGGGCAUUUCUCUCCUUGAGGAGGUUUUGCUGACAUCGUUGGUGGCUUUUGCAGAUUCGAUUUUUAAGGAAAAAAACGACAUAAAUAUAAUAAAAAAACUGUCAACACGUUUCACCAGUUAUUUCUCAUAUAUGUUAUUUUGGCAAGCCAAAGGCACAAACAAUGACAGGAUGAAUAUAUAGACCGAUAAUUCCCUUAUUAUACCCUAUAAGCCACAUUUGUAAUUAUGAAGUUAAUCACCUACAGUACGUGUUCGUAUACCAACAGUAGUAUGAAUACCAACAGCUGUUGCUAUUACUCACAACUAUUAAGUAGACUUGGGAAAAAAUGACCAAUCCACGCUGUUAGGCCCCAAUACUUCUUUAAUGUGUUUUAAUAACUGUACAUUUUCACUCGUCCUUGAGAGCAGUUUCCUCCGAUGACAGAAUUGAGGUUGUUUUUAGCGUCAGAAGUGUGAUGAGGAGCUGGACACAUCCAACCCACCAGACUUUGGGCAGAUAAACAUUGAAGAGACAAAUAGUAUGUCGUUGACCUUUAUAAGCUGAGGUCACAGUAUUAAAUCCUUUGAGCCAUUUCUCAUUUUAUGAGAAGCACACUGCAGCUUCUACAACUGGUAAAUUAUUUAUUUUAUUUAAAGUAUUUCCUAAUCAUGAGUGACACUUGAUCUUGUGCGCAUGAAGCACUUGUUCCAUAACGGAAACGAUGCCUUCACAAAAACGAGACCGGAAUGCUUGAAACUAGUCGCAGUUUGAGAUGGAAAACAACCUUCUUUUUUGCCAGUGUUGGUUUUUAAUGAAGGAUUCACAUAAAAUCAGCCAUAGUAAAUGGAGAGUGUUUUUUGAGUGCAGCCUCUUCAUUGUCUGGGACUGUUUACUGCAUCUGUCGGCCUUCUGUCGGCUUUGCUUUCCAAUCUCUGUGAUUUUUCUGUGCAUGAAAAAGAGGCUCAUCCGUCCUGUUCCUCUCUCCCACUAUUCAUUCCCACCAAACGACUGAACAACUGCUUUAAGAUGCUCCUCCGACUGCUAAUCAUCCCCUGCCGUUUUUAAAACACCUCCACCGAGCUAAAUACCAUUCGGUUCAGCGCAUCACGAUCGACUCGGCGAGAUAGUCGACUGACUUUCCACUCUUCCAUUUAUCUCUCCUUGCUUGGCACAACAGUCAAUACGGACUCAGCUGGCCCAAGCGGAACGGAUUUCAAACCAAACAGAAUCACUGAACCUAUUAGCCCAGAUCUUGUCACAGAAACACGCCCCCAACCAUCAAAGGGGAGGAGUCACAGCUGGUUCGUUGGUUCAAAGUACCAGUCGCAGCAGUGAGGCCCAUUCUGCUAUAAUGUGUCUACCUGUGUCGCUAUUCAUGUCGUAAUAUGGUUCUUUUGGUAUGUUUUAUGUUCAGUGAAGGUUACAGACUGUCAGAUGGCAUCAGCGGUUUCUCCUUUUUUCUCCGUUUUUACGGGCUCCUCCCUUAUGCGCCAUUUCCUCCUCUACAUCCUUGCCUCUGUUUCCUCCUUUCUCCAAACAGUGUUUGGAGAGUACAAAUAUUUUGGUGUCAAUCAGGGAAAACGUGGUCUACCUCUUGCUAUAAUUGUCUUUUGAGUAACAAUUCAUUAGACUUGCAUGAAGACUUCACAAGGCGUCCUUGAGGAAUCCGGGGGCGGUUUACGCUUGAAAAGUUGCUGUCGUGUGCCUGAUGUAACUUGAGUGAAGUCUUACAAGACGGAGGUGAGGCAGCCCUGCUUUUGUGACAGUCGAAACUCUGUAUGAAUAUGUAUGAAUAUAAGCAUAAUACACACAGAGGUGGAAAAUAAAGCCUUGAAAUGAAAGUACUUCAGUAACAGAAUGAGAGAUGUUAUCCCACAGAGGGCAGAUGAUGGUGGGCCACUGGGCUAAUCACUGAUUCUUCAUGAUAUGUAAAUGUCCUCUCUUGUUCCUUAGUAACCAAGGAGCAACACGUCCUUCAGUGCUCGUAUGCACUUUCUCUCUGUAUUUACUUAUUUUCCAAAUAAUAUUACUGUUUAAACUGAAUUUUGAGAUUAAUCUGGGACAAUCCACCCGAGAUGAACUGUCAGAGGUGCUCGCCAAAGCUCUCGCAAACGACUACAGACAAAGCAUCAUUUAUCGCUUCCAGGAGUGGAGUCACCAUGGAUACGGGUCUUCCACCUGUCAUGCUGUUCGCACCGUUGGAUGGAUUAAGAAGGAAACAAACCUCCCUCCCUUUUUGGAAUACAUGCUUCUCAACUUGCGGGUGAAAGAUUGUUACAAUAUUCUUCCCCCAAAUGAGGUUAUGGAGGAAAUUAAGCACGAUGACCAUAAACGAUCCAGCCGUAGGGGUCCACCUGCUCUUGUUAUUCGAUGCAUUCGUCUUCCCUGUGUGCGUACAGUGCAUUAGCCAGGGAGUAUGUGUGACUUUUUACAGCUCCUCUGGAUCCACAAAAGGCUUUCACACAACUUGUUUUAUAUGCAUAUAUAUAUGUACAUAUAUACAAAUAUUCAUGCAGAAGUACUCCCAAAGAUCUGAAAAGUUACUACUACGUGAAAAAUAAGUUGCAUAAAGAAUCCCUCCCAAAUGUCAGAAGGCUUCUAGACAUUAAAGUAGAACACCUACUGGCAUGGAAUUGAACAGCCUCAGGUAUCAUCAUUCUAUACAUCUCAUUUUUGAGUUUCUCAUCCAAUGUUGUAAGUUCCUUUUCUGUCUUUUUCAUUUUUUAAUCUCAAACGUGUCAUUUUCUUC